AUUGAACGCUGGCGGCAUGCCUUACACAUGCAAGUCGAACGGUAACAGGUCUUCGGAUGCUGACGAGUGGCGAACGGGUGAGUAAUACAUCGGAACGUGCCUAGUAGUGGGGGAUAACUACUCGAAAGAGUGGCUAAUACCGCAUGAGAUCUACGGAUGAAAGCAGGGGAUCGCCAGACCUUGUGCUACUAGAGCGGCCGAUGGCAGAUUAGGUAGUUGGUGGGAUAAAAGCUUACCAAGCCGACGAUCUGUAGCUGGUCUGAGAGGACGAUCAGCCACACUGGGACUGAGAAACGGCCCAGACUCCUACGGGAGGCAGCAGUGGGGAAUUUUGGACAAUGGGCGCAAGCCUGAUCCAGCAAUGCCGCGUGCAGGAUGAAGGCCUUUGGGUUGUAAACUGCUUUUGUACGGAACGAAAAGCCCCGGGUUAAUACCCUGGGGUCAUGACGGUACCGUAAGAAUAAGCACCGGCUAACUACGUGCCAGCCGCCGCCGUAA
rnacentral:rRNA from 1 species